rnacentral:rRNA from 1 species
GACGAACGCUGGCGGCGUGCCUAACACAUGCAAGUCGAGCGAUGAAGCCUUCGGGUGGAUUAGCGGCGGACGGGUGAGUAACACGUGGGUAACCUGCCUCAAAGAGGGGGAUAGCCUCCCGAAAGGGAGAUUAAUACCGCAUAACAUUAGAUUGUCGCAUGACAGUUUAAUCAAAGCAGUAAUGCACUUUGAGAUGGACCCGCGGCGCAUUAGCUAGUUGGAGAGGUAACGGCUCACCAAGGCGACGAUGCGUAGCCGACCUGAGAGGGUGAUCGGCCACAUUGGAACUGAGACACGGUCCAGACUCCUACGGGAGGCAGCAGUGGGGAAUAUUGCACAAUGGGCGAAAGCCUGAUGCAGCAACGCCGCGUGAGUGAUGAAGGCCUUCGGGUUGUAAAGCUCUGUCUUCUGGGACGAUAAUGACGGUACCAGAGGAGGAAGCCACGGCUAACUACGUGCCAGCAGCCGCGGUAA